GAUGAACGCUAGCGGGAGGCCUAACACAUACAAGCCGAGCGGUAUUUGUUCUUCGGAACAGAGAGAGCGGCGCACGGGUGCGGAACACGUGUGCAACCUGCCUUUAUCUGGGGGAUAGCCUUUCGAAAGGAAGAUUAAUACCCCAUAAUAUAUUGAGUGGCAUCAUUUGAUAUUGAAAACUCCGGUGGAUAGAGAUGGGCACGCGCAAGAUUAGAUAGUUGGUGAGGUAACGGCUCACCAAGUCAAUGAUCUUUAGGGGGCCUGAGAGGGUGAUCCCCCACACUGGUACUGAGACACGGACCAGACUCCUACGGGAGGCAGCAGUGAGGAAUAUUGGACAAUGGGUUAGCGCCUGAUCCAGCCAUCCCGCGUGAAGGACGACGGCCCUAUGGGUUGUAAACUUCUUUUGUAUAGGGAUAAACCUACUCUCGUGAGAGUAGCUGAAGGUACUAUACGAAUAAGCACCGGCUAACUCCGUG
rnacentral:rRNA from 1 species